rnacentral:rRNA from 1 species
UACGAACUGUGCAAACGUUAUUCGGAAUCACUGGGCUUAAAGGGUGCGUAGGCGGUCAUUUAAGUAGGGUGUGAAAGCCCCCGGCUCAACCGGGGAACUGCGUCCUAAACUGGGUGACUAGAGUGAGAUAGAGGUGUGUGGAACUUCCAGUGGAGUGGUGAAAUGUGUUGAUAUUGGAAGGAACGCCGGUGGCGAAAGCGACACACUGGGUCUCAACUGACGCUGACGGCACGAAAGCCAGGGGAGACGAACCGGGGA